AAAUGCGAUAAGUAAUGUGAAUUGCAGAAUUCAGUGAAUCAUCAAAUCUUUGAACGCACAUUGCGCCCGCCAGCACUCUGGCGGGCAUGCCUGUUCGAGCGUCAUUUCAACCCUCAGAACCCCUUGCGGGAUCUGGCGUUGGGGAUUGGCAUCCAGCCAGCCCCGAAAUCUAGUGGCGGUCCCUCCGCGACCUCCCCUGUGCAGUAGCGAUACCUCGCAGCGGGACAGCGGUCUGACCACGCCGUAAAACCCCCAACUUCUCAAGGUUGACCUCGAAUCAGGUAGGAAUACCCGCUGAACUUAAGC
rnacentral:misc_RNA from 1 species